GGGCAAACUAGGCGGCGGGAAUCAAAAUAUGGAGGCAUCAAAAUAUUGAUUCUAGUGGGCGGAGCUUUGACCAUAUAUGGGCAUAGAAUCAAUAUUUUGAUUCAAUUUGGGACAUUCCCACCUUCAGACGACCCGUUACGGCGGAAAUAACCCCCAUGACGGCGAGAUUUUUUGACAAGUCAAUACAAAAAUCUUCCCGGCUUCAAUUUUUCGCUGCAUGGCUAUCAGCCGUUUGUCGCGCGUACCUUUACGAAUGGCAUAAAGAUUUCGCCGCCAUAAUUCAACAAAAACGUGCUGUUAAAACUUGCUCUGUUUAUCAUUAACGACGAGCCUUUGUAAUUUUUUCAUAAUUUUGUCUAAAAGAAAAUAAAAAAUGCGUUAUUUAGUUGUAUAAUUCAUUUAUAAGAAAUAUUCUUUUUCUUAGUAUCUAGCCACGAUUUCCGGUUCCCGCCAUUUCGCGCCGGCGUCGUGGGUGUUCGGGUGCAACGUAGUGCUCCCGGUUUUAUUUUGUUUAAGCGACCUUUUCUGAAGUGUCAACCAAGGAUCGAACACUGGUUGUUGCGGGGAUUAGCUUCAGAGGGUCAAGGAUGGCGUCUUGAAUCGCUGUUCAGUCGACAGGCAACUGUAUGACAACGCCAUCCCUGUCAACCAGAGCGUCGACCGAAGUAGGGCGGCGUUACGCGGACCUGGCCGCACCCGACCAACCGGUGGAGUACCUGACUCGGGCUGGGCGGAGACUACCUACAUCACGACCUUUUGAACUUUAAUCUCGUUGCGAGAAACAAUAUGACGUAAGGAAGUGUGUAUAUGGGCGCCGAUGACCACUGUAGUCCGGGCGCCUAAAAACCCCAAUUCAUCAUCAUCAUCAAGGAAGUGUGUAUGUGGCUGGCGGGGCCGAGGGUGAAAUGCGCCACGUGUUUAUCCUGCCGGAUGACGACAGCGUCACCAACCUGUCAAAGAACGAGCUGGUGCAGCGCGUGAUGACUGCUAUCUCGUCCCUAGAACCGGAAUAGAAAAACGUGCGCAUAGCCCAAAUGAAGCGAACCAAAACACAGACAGGACUGAUAGCUUUUCGGUCGAGAAUGUUCUGAAGAUGCUGAUCAGUAGACCACUUGGUGACCGUUUUCGGUGGUAAUAUGGGAUCUUGUGGUGUUCCAAAGCGACCUGCUUUGGGUGUGGACAUAAGUGGCUCAACCUGACAGGAUUGAUGUUUUAGGUAGCCGUGCUAAUCAUAAACCCUAUAUUGAGUGUAUCUGUACAAAUUUUGUUUAUAUUUAUUUCAUGUAUUUGAUUCGAAACCGAAAAUGGCUCUUUGUAAUUAGGCAACAUCAAGACGUUGAGGUCAUUCUCCAGACGUUUAUUUGUUUUUUCUUACCUGUCCACGGUAUGUCUUAUUGGUUAGGUCUCAGUUUCAAAUAUUAUUAACUGCAUGUUUUGCAAAUACGUAGCCAUAUUGAAUAAGAGACGUGUCCUAAAAGUGAGUAUUGCUUUGCAUGGGAUGUGAGCAUCAACGACAGGGCUUUGUGAUGGCAAAUGUGUGGCAAUUGCAGGGAUCGUUGUGAAAUAUGUUAUGAAUAUCAUCGUAUUAUUUGCGACUGUAAAUACAUCCGUGUAUCAUAUUAUCA